CUAGUAAUGGCAGGUCAGCAUACUGCCGUGAAUACGUUCCCGGGCCUUGUACACACCGCCCGUCACACCAUGAGAGUUGGGAAUACCCGAAGCCUGUGAGCCGACCGAAAGGGGGCAGCAGUCGAAGGUAGAAUCAAUGAUUGGGGUGAAGUCGUAACAAGGUAGC
rnacentral:rRNA from 1 species